AGAGUUUGAUCCUGGCUCAGAACGAACGCUGGCGGCAGGCCUAACACAUGCAAGUCGAGCGGCACCUUCGGGUCUAGCGGCGGACGGGUUAGUAACGCGUGGGAACGUGCCCUUCUCUGCGGAAUAGCCACUGGAAACGGUGAGUAAUACCGCAUACGCCCUUCGGGGGAAAGAUUUAUCGGAGAAGGAUCGGCCCGCGUUAGAUUAGAUAGUUGGUGGGGUAAUGGCCUACCAAGUCUACGAUCUAUAGCUGGUUUUAGAGGAUGAUCAGCAACACUGGGACUGAGACACGGACCAGACUCCUACGGGAGGCAGCAGUGAGGAAUAUUGGACAAUGGGCGAGAGCCUGAUCCAGCCAUGCCGCGUGCAGGAAGACUGCCCUAUGGGUUGUAAACUGCUUUUACAGAGGAAGAACCACCCCCACGUGUGGGGGUUUGACGGUACUCUGCGAAUAAGGAUCGGCUAACUCCGUGCCAGCAGCCGCGGUAAUACGGAGGAUCCAAGCGUUAUCCGGAAUCAUUGGGUUUAAAGGGUCCGUAGGCGGGCAGUUAAGUCAGUGGUGAAAGUCUUCCGCUCAACGGGAGAACUGCCAUUGAUACUGAUUGUCUUGAGUUAUUAUGAAGUGGUUAGAAUGAGUAGUGUAGCGGUGAAAUGCAUAGAUAUUACUCAGAAUACCGAUUGCGAAGGCAGAUCACUAAUAAUAUACUGACGCUGAUGGACGAAAGCGUAGGUAGCGAACAGGAUUAGAUACCCUGGUAGUCUACGCCGUAAACGAUGGUUACUAGCUGUUCGGCCCGAUUAAGGGCUGAGUGGUUAAGCGAAAGUGAUAAGUAACCCACCUGGGGAGUACGUUCGCAAGAAUGAAACUCAAAGGAAUUGACGGGGGCCCGCACAAGCGGUGGAGCAUGUGGGUUUAAUUCGAUGAUACGCGAGGAACCUUACCAGGGCUUAAUGUAGUCUGACAGGGCUGGGAAACAGCUUUUUCUUCGGACAGAUUACAAGUGCUGCAUGGAUGUCGUCAGCUCGUGCCGUGAGGUGUCAGUUAAGUCCUAUUACGAGCGCACCCCUGGUGUUUAGUUUGCCAGCGAAGUUAAUUGUUCGGAACUCCUUAGUC
rnacentral:rRNA from 1 species